rnacentral:rRNA from 1 species
GAUGAACGCUGGCGGCGUGCCUAAUACAUGCAAGUCGAGCGAACAGACGAGGAGCUUGCUCCUCUGACGUUAGCGGCGGACGGGUGAGUAACACGUGGAUAACCUACCUAUAAGACUGGGAUAACUUCGGGAAACCGGAGCUAAUACCGGAUAAUAUAUUGAAGCGCAUGGGUCAAUGGUGAAAGACGGUUUUGCUGUCACUUAUAGAUGGAUCCGCGCCGCAUUAGCUAGUUGGUAAGGUAACGGCUUACCAAGGCAACGAUGCGUAGCCGACCUGAGAGAGUGAUCGGCCACACUGGAACUUAGCCACGGUCCAGACGCCUACGGGAGGCAGCAGUAGGGAAUCUUCCGCAAUGGGCGAAAGCCUGACGGAGCAACGCCGCGUGAGUGAUGAAGGUCUUCGGAUCGUAAAACUCUGUUAUUAGGGAAGAACAAAUGUGUAAGUAACUAUGCACGUCUUGACGGUACCUAAUCAGAAAGCCACGGCUAACUACGUG